rnacentral:piRNA from 2 species
UGGCAGUGUUGAUCAAAGGACAACCUUGGU